rnacentral:rRNA from 1 species
UCCUACGGGGCGUAGCAGUAGGGAAUCUUCCACAACGGACGAGAGUCUGAUGGAGCAACGCCGCGUGAGUGAAGAAGGGUUUCGGCUCGUAAAGCUCUGUUGGUAGGGAAGAAAGAUAGAGGGAGUAACUGGCCUUUAUUUGACGGUAAUUACUUAGAAAGUCACGGCUAACUACGUGCCAGCAGCCGCGGGAAUACGUAGGGGGCAAGCGUUGUCCGGAUUUAUUGGGCGGAAAGCGAGGGCAGGGGG